rnacentral:rRNA from 1 species
AUGAGUCGCAAAAACGCCUCCUCCGCCGCCGGCAAGAAGGAGAAGCCCCCCUCCGUGUCCGCCAUGCUAGCCUCGAUGGACAAGCCGGCGCCCAACGCCAGGCCCGCGCCCAAACCCAAGUCCUCCAAGCCCUCCAAGGCGCCCCCCUCGUCCUCCUACAUGGGCGACAUCGACCUGCCCCCGUCCGACGAGGAGGAGGACGAGGCCGACGUCGCCGCCGUCACCGCCAAGGCCAAGGCCAAGCCGGCCCGCGCCACCGUCGACCUCAACGCCCUCGCGCCCUCCGACAAGGACGCCAAGAAGAAGGACAAGCGCGAGAUGAUGGCGGCGGCCGCCGCCGAGGCCGCCAAGCGGGAGGCGCUCCGCGACGACCGCGACGCCUUCUCCGUCGUCAUCGGCGCCCGCGUCCCCGGAUCCGCCGCCGACGGCGACGCCGCCGUCGACGGCAACAUCAAGGACAUCGUGCUCGACAACUUCUCCGUCUCCGCCCGUGGGAAGGAGCUGCUCAAGGGCGCCUCGCUCCGGAUCUCGCACGGUCGCCGGUAUGGUCUCGUGGGGCCCAAUGGCAUGGGCAAAUCUACCCUCCUGAAGCUGCUCUCCUGGCGGCAGGUGCCCGUGCCCAAGAACAUCGACGUCCUGCUUGUGGAGCAGGAGAUUGUCGGUGAUGACCGCUCGGCGACCGAGGCCGUGGUUGCAGCCAACGAAGAGCUCACGGCGCUCCGGGCUGAGCAGGCGAAGCUUGAAGCCUCCAACGAUCCUGAUGACAAUGAGAAGCUUGCGGAGGUGUACGAGAAGCUCAAUCUGUGUGACUCGGAUGCUGCUCGUGCCCGCGCGUCCAAGAUCCUCGCGGGGCUGGGGUUUGAUCAGGCGAUGCAGGCAAGGUCCACAAAGUCAUUCAGCGGUGGCUGGAGGAUGCGCAUCUCGCUUGCCCGUGCUCUCUUCAUGCAGCCAACGUUGCUGCUCCUUGAUGAGCCUACCAACCAUUUGGACCUCCGAGCUGUGCUUUGGUUGGAGCAGUACCUGUGCUCGCAGUGGAAGAAGACCCUGAUUGUAGUCUCCCAUGACCGGGACUUCUUGAACACAGUGUGCAAUGAUAUCAUACAUCUGCAUGAUAAGAGUCUGCAUGUUUACCGCGGCAAUUUUGAUGACUUUGAGAGUGGGUAUGAGCAGAAGAGGAAGGAGAUGAACAAGAAGUUUGAGCUGUAUGAAAAGCAGAUGAAAGCAGCAAGGAAGACUGGGAGCAAGGCUGCACAAGAUAAGGUUAAAGGCCAAGCACUGUCAAAGGCCCAUAAAGAAGUUGCCAAGGGGAAGGGCAAGGGAAAGAAUGUGGCAACUGAUGAUGAUAAUGUGAAGCCAGCGGAUCUGCCACAGAAGUGGCUUGACUAUAAAGUUGAGUUCCACUUCCCAGAGCCUACUUUGCUUACACCACCCCUCCUUCAGCUCAUUGAGGUGGGUUUCAGCUACCCCAACAGGCCGGACUUCAAGUUAUCAGAUGUUGAUGUUGGCAUUGACAUGGGAACACGUGUUGCCAUUGUUGGGCCCAAUGGGGCAGGAAAGUCUACUCUUCUAAAUUUACUUGCUGGUGAUCUUACCCCAGCUGAAGGAGAGGCAAGAAGGAGCCAGAAGCUCAGGAUUGGACGAUACUCGCAGCAUUUUGUUGACUUGUUGACAAUGGAGGAAAAUGCGGUUCAGUAUUUGCUCAGGCUCCACCCAGACCAGGAGGGAAUGAGCAAAGCGGAGGCUGUCCGUGCCAAGCUUGGAAAAUUUGGCUUGCCAGGUCACAACCAUCUUACUCCCAUUGUUAAAUUAUCUGGUGGUCAGAAGGCCCGUGUUGUGUUCACUUCGAUAUCAAUGUCGCAUCCUCACAUUCUCCUACUGGAUGAGCCUACAAAUCACUUGGACAUGCAAAGUAUUGAUGCUUUGGCAGAUGCUCUCGAUGAGUUCACUGGAGGUGUGGUCUUGGUUAGCCAUGACUCGCGGUUGAUAUCUCGAGUUUGUGCCGAUGAGCAGAAGAGCCAGAUAUGGGUUGUGGAGGAUGGCACAGUGAGUAAAUAUGAUGGCUCGUUUGAGGAUUACAAGGAUGAACUAAUGGCAGAAAUAAAGAAGGAAGUCGAAGAGUAA